GAGAGACAGUAGAGAGAGAGAGACAGUAGAGAGAGAGAGAGAGAGAGAGAGAGAGAGAGAGAGAGAGACAGAGAGAGAGACAGUAGAGAGAGAGAGAGAGAGAGAGAGAGAGAGAGACAUUAGAGAGAGAGAGCGAGACAGUAGAGUGAGAGAGACAAGAGAGAGAGACAGUAGAGAGAGAGAGAGAGACAGUAGAGAGAGAGACAGUAGAGACAGUAGAGACAGUAGAGAGAGACAGUAGAGAGAGAGAGACAGUAGAGAGAGAGAGACAGUAGAGAGAAAGAGAGAGAGAGAGAGAGAGAGACAAGAGAGACAGUAGAGAGAGAGAGAGAGAGACAGUAGAGAGAGAGAGAGAGACAGUAGAGAGAGACAGUAGAGAGAGAGAGAGACAGUAGAGAGAGAGAGAGACAGUAGAGAGAGAGAGACAGUAGAGUGAGAGAGACAGUAGAGAGAGACAGUAGAGAGAGAGAGAGAACCAGUAGAGAGAGAGACAGUAGAGACAGUAGAGAGAGAGAGAGACAGUAGAGAGAGAGAGAGAGACAGUAGAGAGAGAGAGACAGUAGAGAGAGAGAGAGACAGUAGAGAGAGAGACAGUAGAGAGAGAGAGAGACAGUAGAGAGACAGAG
rnacentral:lncRNA from 1 species